rnacentral:rRNA from 1 species
GCAAGUCGAACGACGAACCACUUCGGUGGGGGAUUAGUGGCGAACGGGUGAGUAACACGUGGGCAAUCUGCCCUUCACUCUGGGACAAGCCCUGGAAACGGGGUCUAAUACCGGAUAACACCGGCUCUCGCAUGGGAGCUGGUUGAAAGCUCCGGCGGUGAAGGAUGAGCCCGCGGCCUAUCAGCUUGUUGGUGGGGUGAUGGCCUACCAAGGCGACGACGGGUAGCCGGCCUGAGAGGGCGACCGGCCACACUGGGACUGAGACACGGCCCAGACUCCUACGGGAGGCAGCAGUGGGGAAUAUUGCACAAUGGGCGAAAGCCUGAUGCAGCGACGCCGCGUGAGGGAUGACGGCCUUCGGGUUGUAAACCUCUUUCAGCAGGGAAGAAGCGAAAGUGACGGUACCUGCAGAAGAAGCGCCGGCUAACUACGUGCCAGCAGCCGCGGUAAUACGUAGGGCGCAAGCGUUGUCCGGAAUUAUUGGGCGUAAAGAGCUCGUAGGCGGCUUGUCACGUCGGAUGUGAAAGCCCGGGGCUUAACCCCGGGUCUGCAUUCGAUACGGGCAGGCUAGAGUGUGGUAGGGGAGAUCGGAAUUCCUGGUGUAGCGGUGAAAUGCGCAGAUAUCAGGAGGAACACCGGUGGCG